AAGUCGUAACAAGAUUUUCGUAGGUGAACCUGCGGAAGGAUCAUUAUUAGUUCAAACAAAAAGUUUUUAAACAUAUUUAUUUGUAUACAUGAUAUAUAUGGUAUGCAAUGUGAUAAACAACAGGUUUAUGGGUGCCUAUUUAACCAGUACAUUUACUGACUACUAUUAAGGUCAGUAGUGUGCAAGGCUUAAAGAAUCAAUUAUGAAGGUUUGAUCGCCCUUAGACAAAAACGUAUUCAAUAUUAUUAUUUCAUCUAUUAUUAUCUUAAUAAUAAUAUGAUCCCUUUUUGUGAUAAACAAUUAGGUAGAUCAAACUUAUAUAUAUAUAUAUAUUACAUAGGCAUCUGUAUAUUACAUAUAACUUUAAGCGAUGGAUCACUCGGCUCACAC
rnacentral:misc_RNA from 1 species